GCAAGUCGAACGAAGUAGCAAUACUUAGUGGCAGACGGGUGAGUAACAUGUAGGUAUCUGCCCUUUGGCCUGGAAUAACACAAGGAAACUUGUGCUAAUACCGGAUAAGUCUUUACGGAGAAAGCUUUAUGCACCAUUGGAUGAGCCUGCACUUGAUUAGUUUGUUGGUGGGGUAAUGGCCUACCAAGACGAUGAUGCAUAGCCGACCUGAGAGGGUGAUC
rnacentral:rRNA from 1 species